rnacentral:rRNA from 1 species
CCACGGGGGAUGCUUAGUACGGCGAGUGAAGCGGCAAAAGCUCAAAUUUGAAAUCUGGUACCUUCGGUGCCCGAGUUGUAAUUUGGAGAGGGCAACUUUGGGGCCGUUCCUUGUCUAUGUUCCUUGGAACAGGACGUCAUAGAGGGUGAGAAUCCCGUGUGGCGAGGAGUGCGGUUCUUUGUAAAGUGCCUUCGAAGAGUCGAGUUGUUUGGGAAUGCAGCUCUAAGUGGGUGGUAAAUUCCAUCUAAAGCUAAAUAUUGGCGAGAGACCGAUAGCGAACAAGUACAGUGAUGGAAAGAUGAAAAGAACUUUGAAAAGAGAGUGAAAAAGUACGUGAAAUUGUUGAAAGGGAAGGGCAUUUGAUCAGACAUGGUGUUUUGUGCCCUCUGCUCCUUGUGGGUAGGGGAAUCUCGCAUUUCACUGGGCCAGCAUCAGUUUUGGUGGCAGGAUAAAUCCAUAGGAAUGUAGCUUGCCUCGGUAAGUAUUAUAGCCUGUGGGAAUACUGCCAGCUGGGACUGAGGACUGCGACGUAAGUCAAGGAUGCUGGCAUAAUGGUUAUAUGCCGCCCGUCUUGACCCCCCCGAACCA